rnacentral:lncRNA from 1 species
CUUGGAGACUGGUUGACUGUAGGCCAACCUGACCCUGCUCGCCGCGUGGAAGCUUCUCCCCUGAGCAGUGACCUUUCCUAAGGAUGAAGGUCACCAGGCAAGCCUCGGGUUGCAGGGAAACCUACCUACUCAGAGGGUCUUAGAUUGGCCCUACGGCUUCAGCAAGACCUGUGGGUGGGGAAGUGUGUAUGCACUUCCAUCCUUCGUUGACUUCAGUGGGUACAUGCUGUGAAGGCGAGUAAGAACCUGUUCUUCUCUCCAGGAGGUAGAAGUCCGAGGGAAGAACACCCGCGAUUCCUCUCGCUACCAAGGACACCAUGUCAGCUUUUAUAAGUGACACCGCACGACGCGCUACCAGCGCUUUCUGCCGAUGCAGAGCGAGUUGCCAGGCACCCUCGCGGGCCACACACUGCUUUCUCCCGGUGGAUGAGGUCGCCUGCAGACCCGGGCUGGGCCUUAUGGGCUGCCCAGGUGUAGAUUUCUUAAAAAGCCUCAUGGGACAUAGCACCAUUGCUGAAUGCCUGGUACAUAUAAGAAACCUGCCUGCAUGGGAGGCACUCUACAAACACAGUAUGUUACCUGAAAUCUGAGAACUAAAUGAGCCAGACUUUAAUUCUAAAUGGUUAAAAAAAAAAAAAAGAGCACUUUUCAUAACAUUAUUCUAU